UACACCACUCAAGCGUAGCUUGGUAUUGGGCCCUCGCUCCCCCCGCCAAGGGGGGCGUGCCUGAAAAGCAGUGGCGGUCCGGUGCGGCUUUGAGCGUAGUAAAACUUUUCGCUCUGAAAGAUCCACACCGUGGCCCGCCAGAAAACGCCACCUUUUUGACGAUUGACCUCGGAUCAGACAGGGAUACCCGCUGAACUUAA
rnacentral:misc_RNA from 1 species